AGCCGCCUUCUGCCUCUCACCUUGUUGCGUCAAUUUGCAUAUUCCCUCCUUACUGGUUGUGGGUGCCGCCAUAUUUGUCGUGGAGUUACGGUCAAUUUGCAUAUUCUGUCUUUAUUAGAUAGGAUUAAGGCCCUCUAGUCUCUUUACCUGGUGCAGUAUAGAAGGGGUAGAAAGUGUAGAUGCAUUUGGACCUAUACUUUGAUAAGGAUCUAUAUAUAUUUGGAUUUAUACGAUGGUAAGCACACCUCACUAGGAAUCAAGACAACUGAAUUCCAAACUUAUCUCUGUUUUGAACUUCCUGUGUGAUUCGGAACAAGCACUCAAGUCUUCACAUCUCGGUUUCCUCAUCUGUAAAUAGAGAGGAGCGAUCAGUCCAGGGACAGCCGCUGGGCUCUGCCCUGAACCAUGUCUGUUGUGGGAACCUGGAGCAGGAACCAGCAGUACCCAAACCAGGAGUUUCCCAUCCAUGGACUAGGGACCACCACACCUGAAUUAUAAGACUUCAAACCUUAAGUUUCCUCAUCUGUGAAGUGGGGCCAAUAAUACCCACUCCCUGAGGAUUAAAAUUGCUCAUGUAGGUGAACGUUCUUAGCUCUCCACCUAGCAGGAUCCGGCCUUCAACCCUGAGUUCCAGACCCUGAUUGCAGCUCUUACAUCCUGGGAAAGAAGCCUUGCUGCUCCACGUUGGCAAGCUGCCAGCGUGUUCUGCUAUGACAACACGUGUGCGAUUAUUUCACUUGCUGGUUCCAACAGCCCCCGGGUUUUGGAUGCCGUCCUUCAGGCAAACUGCUGCAAACACAUGCUCUGGCUCAUCUUCCAAGGUUUUCCUUUCGCAUUUGUAGAAGAAAUAAAGGAUCAACCUGCCUGAUUGUUGCACUGGAAUGGGAGUGGAGCUUUUCUCAUCUUUGCUCACUUAUUAUCAGCUAGUUGUUGCUACUCUGUGUUAUUUCAAAAGUUGAGAUAACCAUAAUAUCCAAUUUAAGAGAUUGGAGGGAACAAAUUUUCAGUACAAGGACAAACUGGAACAACCUUAAAAUCCAAAAUCAAUUGGCUGGAAAAGAAUAUUGACCCAGGAAACAUUUCAGGACCAAGAGCUGAGCUGGGGAGGGGACAGGGACAGUGAGGAGGGCUCCGGGCUCCACCGGUACUUGACAAGUCUGCCCCUCAAGCUGUGGCUACGCCUCAUCUCACCGCAACAGAUGGACACUCACAGCGGACCCCUUGCCCUCCCGCCCCUUCAUGCCCCCUCUCCUCUCGUUUUGAUGUCCACCCACGAAGAAAAGAACAUUCUCCUCUCC